CCCAACUCCACUGCUGCACUCACCAGCCAGUCAAACACGCGUGGUCGUCCCACCAGCUUGGCCUAUGCCAUGAGGGACAAGCUGUCCCACUACUUCAUCACUGCUGGGAAGGUGCCAUGGCAAGACGACAUGGUGUGAUGCCUUGGCAGGAACAAGUAGUUGUAUGCGGUUCCGUGGAGCUGCUGGAUGUACCAGCUGCACCCAAGUCCUGG